rnacentral:lncRNA from 1 species
CCCUUCUCCUUAACGAUGGCAGCCUGCUCCAGCUUCUCUUUGGUGUCCAUCUCCCAUGACUCUUUGGCCUUCUCAAAGCUUUUCAGUGUGACCUCGUACACCAGCUCAGCGUUCGCCUGAAUGCCAUACUUGGGUUUCCCUGCCUCGCCGAAGCCGUAUCGUGGCCCCAGGUAGAGGAUGCAGUGCUCUCCCCUCUGCAUCUUCUCCAGUGCUUUGUCGAUGCCAAUAGGGAUGUCAUGGUCCUCCCCUUCGCCCACCACAAACUUCA